GCAUAUCAAUAAGCGGAGGAAAAGAAACCAACAGGGAUUGCCUCAGUUAACGGCGAGUGAAAGCGGCAAGAGCUUCAAAUUUGAAAAUCUGGCUUCCUUCGGGGCCCGAGUUGUAAUUUGGAGAGGAUGCUUCGGGCGUGGCCCCCAUCUAAGUGCCCUGGAACGGGCCGUCAUAGAGGGUGAGAAUCCCGUCUGGGAUGGGUGGUCCCGCCCGUGUGAAGCUCCUUCGAAGAGUCGAGUUGUUUGGGAAUGCAGCUCUAAGAGGGUGGUAAAUUUCAUCUAAAGCUAAAUAUUGGCCGGAGACCGAUAGCGCACAAGUAGAGUGAUCGAAAGAUGAAAAGCACUUUGAAAAGAGAGUUAAACAGCACGUGAAAUUGUUGAAAGGGAAGCGUUGGCAACCAGACUCGCCCGGGGGGGCUCAGCCGGCACGUGUGCCGGUGCACUCCCCCCCCCGGGCGGGCCAGCGUCGGUUUGGGCGGUCGGUCAAAGGCCCCGGGAAUGUAGCACCCUCCGGGGUGCCUUAUAGCCCGAGGCGCCAUGCGACCUGCCCGGACCGAGGAACGCGCUCCGGCUCGGACGCUGGCGUAAUGGUUGUCAACGGCCCGUCUUGAAACACGGACCAAGGAGUCUAACAUCUAUGCGAGUGUUCGGGUGUCAAACCCGUCCGCGCAGUGAAAGCGAACGGAGGUGGGAACCCUCUCGGGGGUGCACCAUCGACCGAUCCUGAUGUCUUCGGAUGGAUUUGAGUAAGAGCAUAGCUGUUGGGACCCGAAAGAUGGUGAACUAUGCCUGAAUAGGGCGAAGCCAGAGGAAACUCUGGUGGAGGCUCGCAGCGGUUCUGACGUGCAAAUCGAUCGUCAAAUUUGGGUAUAGGGGGCGAAAGACUAAUCGAACCAUCUGGUAGCUGGUCUGCGA
rnacentral:rRNA from 1 species